rnacentral:rRNA from 1 species
UACGUAGGGUGCAAGCGUUGUCCGGAAUUAUUGGGCGUAAAGAGCUCGUAGGCGGUUUGUCGCGUCUGCUGUGAAAACGCGAGGCUCAACCUCGCGCCUGCAGUUGGGUACGGGCAGACUAGAGUGUGGUAGGGGAGAUUGGAAUUCCUGGUGUAGCGGUGGAAUGCGCAGAUAUCAGGAGGAACACCGAUGGCGAAGGCAGAUCUCUGGGCCAUUACUGACGUGAGGAGCGAAAGCGUGGGGGAGCGAAACAGGAU